rnacentral:rRNA from 1 species
CAAACCAAAGCUGGCGACCGGCGCACGGGUGAGUAACACGUAUCCAACCUGCCUCAUACUCGGGGAUAGCCUUUCGAAAGAAAGAUUAAUAUCCGAUAGCAUAUAUUUCCCGCAUGGGUUUUAUAUUAAAGAAAUUCGGUAUGGGAUGGGGAUGCGUUCCAUUAGUUUGUUGGGGGGGUAACGGCCCACCAAGACUACGAUGGAUAGGGGUUCUGAGAGGAAGGUCCCCCACAUUGGAACUGAGACACGGUCCAA